ensembl:snRNA U6 U6 spliceosomal RNA
GUGUUCGCUUCAGCAGCACAUAUAUUAACAUUGAAAAGACAGAAGAUUAGCAUGGCCCCUGUACAAGUUUGACAUGCAAAUUUAUGAAGCAUUCCAUAAUAAA